rnacentral:rRNA from 1 species
GUUUGACCUCAAAUCAGGUAGGAGUACCCGCUGAACUUAAGCAUAUCAAUAAGCGGAGGAAA